GCCAGCUUAGCUCAGUUGGUAGAGCAUCGCUCUCGUAAAGCGGAGGUCAUCGGUUCGAGUCCGACAGCUGGCUCCA
rnacentral:tRNA from 1 species